rnacentral:rRNA from 1 species
UACGUAGGGCGCAAGCGUUAUCCGGAAUUAUUGGGCGUAAAGAGCUCGUAGGCGGUUUGUCGCGUCUGCCGUGAAAGUCCGGGGCUCAACUCCGGAUCUGCGGUGGGUACGGGCAGACUAGAGUGAUGUAGGGGAGACUGGAAUUCCUGGUGUAGCGGUGAAAUGCGCAGAUAUCAGGAGGAACACCGGUGGCGAAGGCGGGUCUCUGGGCAGUUACUGACGCUGAGGAGCGAAAGCGUGGGGAGCGAACAGG